GUACCAUGAUGGGAGAAAGACAUAAUAGACGAGAUCACGGGACGAAAAAAGACCAUGCGACAAAGAUCCCAGUGCUUGUUGGGGUCAAAGGCUGAAGGCUGGUGAGUAGUGACCUGAGUGAGAGGCCGGGGUGACAUCUGACCUCUAACUGGGUGUGCGGCUGACCCUAGAGGAUACAGCUCAACAAUGGGAGGCACGUGCCUUGGCCUUGUCACCAUGGAGGAGACGCAGUUGUUUACCAAAGGUUGGCUCAAAACGGUCUGCCUACCUGAAACAAUGAUCAAAGAGGAUUUCACACUGUGGCUUAAGGUAAUGAUCACUGCACAAGAGAAGAAAUGUUGCCAUGUGACAGUUUUGCUUAAUCUUUCUAUGCCUGAGUGUUACAAGUCAAAACAGUUAGUGAUUGGUUAAAAGAAGAAAAGGGGAAGAUUAUUGAAUUACAGUCCUGAAUAAGGGCCAACAGGUGCAGUCCACCUGGAAGAAAACGUGUUUCACACUUUAUACUUUGCCUCUUUGAUGCUGUGCAAGCUGCACACUCACUACCACCCUGAUCCUGCAACCAU